rnacentral:rRNA from 1 species
UCUCCGUUGGUGAACCAGCGGAGGGAUCAUUACCGAGUUUACAACUCCCAAACCCCUGUGAACAUACCUAUUGUUGCCUCGGCGGUGCCUGUUCCGACAGCCCCGCCAGAGGACCCCAAACCCUGAUUACAUUUAAGAAUUCUUCUGAGUAACCGAUUAAAUAAAUCAAAACUUUCAACAACGGAUCUCUUGGUUCUGGCAUCGAUGAAGAACGCAGCGAAAUGCGAUAAGUAAUGUGAAUUGCAGAAUUCAGUGAAUCAUCGAAUCUUUGAACGCACAUUGCGCCCGCUAGUAUUCUGGCGGGCAUGCCUGUUCGAGCGUCAUUUCAACCCUCAAGCCCCCGGGCUUGGUGUUGGGGAUCGGCGAGCCUUUUGCGCUCGCCGUCCCCUAAAUCUAGUGGCGGUCUCGCUGUAGCUUCCUCUGCGUAGUAGCACACCUCGCACUGGGAAACAGCGCGGCCACGCCGUUAAACACCCAACUUCUGAAAGUUUGACCUCGGAUCAGGUAGGAAUACCCGCUGAACUUAA